CACAUAGGAUUAAAAAGAGGUCACUGGAGUUUCUGCGUGGGAAAGUCCCCGACGCCUCAACCUCCUGAACACAGUCAUACUGAGACAGACAGAGAGUUAGUGGAGCUGAUAGUAUUAAUCAGCUUUGAAGCAACUCAUUCUGCAACGGCUUCAAUAUAACGGAAGUCAUUAAUAUCAAAAAGUUACGCACUUAGGCUUUAAAUUAUGCCAACAGAAUCAAAUAGUUCAAACAUAUUAGGUAUAUCAGAAUUUGUGUCUUAUUCUCCGCCUCAAACAUAUCUUAACCCGGUCAUAUUUAUAUACAUCAGUACACGUUAGGAACAGACAGUGUAGUAGUCAGUACACAUUAGGAACAAAGUGUAGUAGUCAGUACACGUUAGGAACAAAGUGUAGUAGUCAGUACACGUUAGGAACAGACAGUGUAGUAGUCAGUACACGUUAGGAACAAAGUGUAGUAGUCAGUACACGUUAGGAACAAACAGUGAAGUAGUCAGUACACUAACAGGGCUGUAGUACUGGAGUCCGGACUCAAGACGCUUUUCUGUUGUCUCAGACUCGUCCUGGACUCGGUCUUGACUAGUCCUGUUCUUGGACUCGACAAAAGGUGGACCUGACUACAGCCCAGCUAUGCCGUCAUUUAAAG